UGCUAAUACCGAAUGUUGUCAGAUUCCCGCAUGGGAGACUGAUUAAAGAUGGCCUCUACUUGUAAGCUAUCGCUUUGCGAUGGGUCUGCGUCUGAUUAGCUGGUUGGUGGGGUAACGGCCUACCAAGGCGACGAUCAGUAGCCGGUCUGAGAGGAUGAACGGCCACAUUGGAACUGAGACACGGUCCAGACUCCUACGGGAGGCAGCAGUGGGGAAUCUUCCGCAAUGGGCGAAAGCCUGACGGAGCAACGCCGCGUGAGUGAAGAAGGGUUUCGGCUCGUAAAGCUCUGUUGACGGGGACGAAUGUGCGAAAUGCGAAUAGUUUUUCGCAAUGACGGUACCCGUCGAGGAAGCCACGGCUAACUACGUGCCAGCAGCCGCGGUAAUACGUAGGUGGCGAGCGUUGUCCGGAAUUAUUGGGCGUAAAGGGAGCGCAGGCGGGAAGGCAAGUCAGUCUUAAAAGUGCGGGGCUCAACCCCGUGAUGGGAUUGAAACUGUCUUUCUUGAGUGCAGGA
rnacentral:rRNA from 1 species